rnacentral:misc_RNA from 1 species
CCGAGUUUUAUACACUCAGACCCGACGCGAACCCGAAACUGUUGCUUCGGCGGGCUGCCCGGCGGGCGCCCGCCGGAGGUUUAGGCUCUUAGGCUCUAUUAGAUCUACGUCGUCUGAAUUACGCUUCUAAACUAGUCA